UACGUAGGGGGCAAGCGUUGUCCGGAUUUACUGGGCGUAAAGAGCGCGCAGGCGGUCGUUCAAGUCGCGUGUGAAAGCCCCCGGCUCAACUGGGGAGGGUCACGCGAUACUGAUCGACUCGAAGGCAGGAGAGGGUAGUGGAAUUCCCGGUGUAGUGGUGAAAUGCGUAGAUAUCGGGAGGAAUACCAGUGGCGAAGGCGACUACCUGGCCUGUUCUUGACGCUGAGGCGCGAAAGCUAGGGGAGCAAACGGG
rnacentral:rRNA from 1 species